GAAAAGAAUCUGGACUUGAGCUGGGAUAUGUUUAUCAAUGCCGCAUUCAGGCAACGUAUGACCAAAAUGAUAGGCAGUUAUCUAAAUUAUCUCUUUGAUCUGGAAUCAGGUGAGGUGCUUGCUCCAGAAUUGUAUGAGAAAGCAUAUUUCU